rnacentral:rRNA from 1 species
UACGGAAGGGGCAAGCGUUGUUCGGAAUCAUUGGGCGUAAAGGGCGCGUAGGUGGUUCUGUAUGUCUACCGUGAAAGCGUACGGCUCAACCGUAUUUUGUCGGUGGAAACUGCAGAGCUUGAGUGCCGGAGAGGGUGGCGGAAUUCCCCAAGUAGAGGUGAAAUUCGUAGAUAUGGGGAGGAACACCGGUGGCGAAGGCGGCCACCUGGACGGUAACUGACGCUGAGACGCGAAAGCGUGGGGAGCAAACAGG